rnacentral:rRNA from 1 species
UAAAGUCAAAUGACCUCUAAGCCGUUGUACGCAUUACGAGAACAUGAAGCCCCCCCACGAAAGUAACUUUACCACCUCCGACCCCACGAAAGCUAAGAAACAAACUGGGAUUAGAUACCCCACUAUGCUUAGCCUUAAACCCAGAUAUUUACAUUACAAAAAAUAUCCGCCAGGGUACUACGAGCGCUAGCUUAAAACCCAAAGGACUUGACGGUGUCUCAGACCCGCCUAGAGGAGCCUGUUCUAGAACCGAUAAUCCACGUUUAACCUCACCUCCCCUUGUAUUCCCCGCCUAUAUACCGCCGUCGCAAGCUUACCCUGUGAAGGAAUAAUAGUAAGCAAAAUGGGCACGCCCCAGAACGUCAGGUCGAGGUGUAGCUUAUGGGGUGGGAAGAAAUGGGCUACAUUUUCUGCACCAGAAUAUACGAACGGUAUUAUGAAACUAAUACCCGAAGGUGGAUUUAGUAGUAAAAAUCAAAUAGAGAGUCAUUUUGAAUAAGGCUCUGAGAUGCGCACACACCGCCCGUCGCCC